rnacentral:rRNA from 1 species
UACGGAGGGGGCUAGCGUUGUUCGGAAUUACUGGGCGUAAAGCGCACGUAGGCGGCUUUGUAAGUUAGAGGUGAAAGCCCAGGGCUCAACCCUGGAAUUGCCUUUAAGACUGCAUCGCUUGAACAUCGGAGAGGUAAGUGGAAUUCCGAAUGUAGAGGUGAAAUUCGUAGAUAUUCGGAAGAACACCAGUGGCGAAGGCGACUUACUGGACGAUUGUUGACGCUGAGGUGCGAAAGCGUGGGGAGCAAACAGG